rnacentral:rRNA from 1 species
CGGCGAGGGGAGUGAAAAAGAACCUGAAACCGUGUACGUACAAGCAGUGGGAGCACGCUUAGGCGUGUGACUGCGUACCUUUUGUAUAAUGGGUCAGCGACUUAUAUUCUGUAGCAAGGUUAACCGAAUAGGGGAGCCGAAGGGAAACCGAGUCUUAACUGGGCGUUAAGUUGCAGGGUAUAGACCCGAAACCCGGUGAUCUAGCCAUGGGCAGGUUGAAGGUUGGGUAACACUAACUGGAGGACCGAACCGACUAAUGUUGAAAAAUUAGCGGAUGACUUGUGGCUGGGGGUGAAAGGCCAAUCAAACCGGGAGAUAGCUGGUUCUCCCCGAAAGCUAUUUAGGUAGCGCCUCGUGAAUUCAUCUCCGGGGGUAGAGCACUGUUUCGGCAAGGGGGUCAUCCCGACUUACCAACCCGAUGCAAACUGCGAAUACCGGAGAAUGUUAUCACGGGAGACACACGGCGGGUGCUAACGUCCGUCGUGAAGAGGGAAACAACCCAGACCGCCAGCUAAGGUCCCAAAGUCAUGGUUAAGUGGGAAACGAUGUGGGAAGGCCCAGACAGCCAGGAUGUUGGCUUAGAAGCAGCCAUCAUUUAAAGAAAGCGUAAUAGCUCACUGGUCGAGUCGGCCUGCGCGGAAGAUGUAACGGGGCUAAACCAUGCACCGAAGCUGCGGCAGCGACGCUGAUGCGUUGUUGGGUAGGGGAGCGUUCUGUAAGCCUGCGAAGGUGUGCUGUGAGGCAUGCUGGAGGUAUCAGAAGUGCGAAUGCUGACAUAAGUAACGAUAAAGCGGGUGAAAAGCCCGCUCGCCGGAAGACCAAGGGUUCCUGUCCAACGUUAAUCGGGGCAGGGUGAGUCGACCCCUAAGGCGAGGCCGAAAGGCGUAGUCGAUGGGAAACAGGUUAAUAUUCCUGUACUUGGUGUUACUGCGAAGGGGGGACGGAGAAGGCUAUGUUGGCCGGGCGACGGUUGUCCCGGUUUAAGCGUGUAGGCUGGUUUUCCAGGCAAAUCCGGAAAAUCAAGGCUGAGGCGUGAUGACGAGGCACUACGGUGCUGAAGCAACAAAUGCCCUGCUUCCAGGAAAAGCCUCUAAGCAUCAGGUAACAUCAAAUCGUACCCCAAACCGACACAGGUGGUCAGGUAGAGAAUACCAAGGCGCUUGAGAGAACUCGGGUGAAGGAACUAGGCAAAAUGGUGCCGUAACUUCGGGAGAAGGCACGCUGAUAUGUAGGUGAAGUCCCUCGCGGAUGGAGCUGAAAUCAGUCGAAGAUACCAGCUGGCUGCAACUGUUUAUUAAAAACACAGCACUGUGCAAACACGAAAGUGGACGUAUACGGUGUGACGCCUGCCCGGUGCCGGAAGGUUAAUUGAUGGGGUUAGCGCAAGCGAAGCUCUUGAUCGAAGCCCCGGUAAACGGCGGCCGUAACUAUAACGGUCCUAAGGUAGCGAAAUUCCUUGUCGGGUAAGUUCCGACCUGCACGAAUGGCGUAAUGAUGGCCAGGCUGUCUCCACCCGAGACUCAGUGAAAUUGAACUCGCUGUGAAGAUGCAGUGUACCCGCGGCAAGACGGAAAGACCCCGUGAACCUUUACUAUAGCUUGACACUGAACAUUGAGCCUUGAUGUGUAGGAUAGGUGGGAGGCUUUGAAGUGUGGACGCCAGUCUGCAUGGAGCCGACCUUGAAAUACCACCCUUUAAUGUUUGAUGUUCUAACGUUGACCCGUAAUCCGGGUUGCGGACAGUGUCUGGUGGGUAGUUUGACUGGGGCGGUCUCCUCCUAAAGAGUAACGGAGGAGCACGAAGGUUGGCUAAUCCUGGUCGGACAUCAGGAGGUUAGUGCAAUGGCAUAAGCCAGCUUGACUGCGAGCGUGACGGCGCGAGCAGGUGCGAAAGCAGGUCAUAGUGAUCCGGUGGUUCUGAAUGGAAGGGCCAUCGCUCAACGGAUAAAAGGUACUCCGGGGAUAACAGGCUGAUACCGCCCAAGAGUUCAUAUCGACGGCGGUGUUUGGCACCUCGAUGUCGGCUCAUCACAUCCUGGGGCUGAAGUAGGUCCCAAGGGUAUGGCUGUUCGCCAUUUAAAGUGGUACGCGAGCUGGGUUUAGAACGUCGUGAGACAGUUCGGUCCCUAUCUGCCGUGGGCGCUGGAGAACUGAGGGGGGCUGCUCCUAGUACGAGAGGACCGGAGUGGACGCAUCACUGGUGUUCGGGUUGUCAUGCCAAUGGCACUGCCCGGUAGCUAAAUGCGGAAGAGAUAAGUGCUGAAAGCAUCUAAGCACGAAACUUGCCCCGAGAUGAGUUCUCCCUGACUCCUUGAGAGUCCUGAAGGAACGUUGAAGACGACGACGUUGAUAGGCCGGGUGUGUAAGCGCAGCGAUGCGUUGAGCUAACCGGUACUAAUGAACCGUGAGG